rnacentral:rRNA from 1 species
ACUCCUACGGGAGGCAGCAGUGGGGAAUAUUGCACAAUGGGCGCAAGCCUGAUGCAGCCAUGCCGCGUGUAUGAAGAAGGCCUUCGGUUGUAAAGUACUUUCAGCAGUGAGGAAGGCGGGUACGUUAAUAGCGUGCUCGUUUGACGUUAGCUGCAGAAGAAGCACCGGCUAACUCCGUGCCAGCAGCCGCGGUAAUACGGAGGGUGCGAGCGUUAAUCGGAAUUACUGGGGCGUAAAGCGCAUGCAGGUGGUUUGUUAAGUCAGAUGUGAAAGCCCGGGGGCUCAACCUCGGAAUUGCAUUUGAAACUGGCAGACUAGAGUACUGUAGAGGGGGUAGAAUUUCAGGUGUAGCGGUGAAAUGCGUAGAGAUCUGAAGGAAUACCGGUGGCGAAGGCGGCCCCCUGGACAGAUACUGACACUCAGAUGCGAAAGCGUGGGGAGCAAACAGGAUUAGAUACCCUGGU